rnacentral:rRNA from 1 species
AUUGAACGCUGGCGGCAUGCCUUACACAUGCAAGUCGAACGGCAGCACGGGGCAAUCUGGUGGCGAGUGGCGAACGGGUGAGUAAUGCAUCGGAACGUACCUUUCAGUGGGGGAUAACGUAGCGAAAGUUACGCUAAUACCGCAUAUUCUGUGAGCAGGAAAGCAGGGGAUCGCAAGACCUUGCGCUGAUUGAGCGGCCGAUGUCAGGAUUAGCUAGUUGGUGAGGUAAAGGCUCACCAAGGCGACGAUCUGUAGCGGGUCGGAGAGGAUGAUCCGCCACACUGGAACUGAGACACGGUCCAGACUCCUACGGGAGGCAGCAGUGGGGAAUUUUGGACAAUGGGGGCAACCCUGAUCCAGCCAUGCCGCGUGAGUGAAGAAGGCCUUCGGGUUGUAAAGCUCUUUCGGCCGGGAAGAAAUCGCACGGGCUAAUACCCUGUGUGGACGACGGUACCGGAAUAAGAAGCACCGGCUAACUACGUGCCAGCCGCCGCCGUAAUAC